GCGACAAAUGCUCAUUUUCACCCGAAAAUAUCACAGAUAUCGCGACCAGGGUUUUCAUAAUGAAUUCAUCACCGAUUACAGUUUACACGGCCCGUCGAGUUUAAUAAACAAAGAACUGCUAGAUCCACGUGUGUUUCAAUCAUUAUGCAGUACAUUCUGAAGUGAGGGAAAGCUUAAAGAUAUUGCAUUGU